CUGUUCCUGAACUUGGCUGGAUGCUUGAUUAUGACCAGCUCUAGAGACUGGCUCUAUAUGGCUUAUAUAAUGUUAUUUUUGGGAAAGUAUCAUACAACCGGUUUUACAAAUGUCUCAUUUUCUAUACUAAAUAUUUUUAUUAUUUUUAUCAUACUAUAAGGCAAUCAGAGCAGAUGGACAGACACAAUUGAGCCAUGAAAUAGCUUGGAGCUAAGUCAGAGGAGUGCUGCUGCUGGACUAAGGCCGAUUGGAGCAGUGGUCUUCAUGCAACGGGGUGUCCUGAAGGUUUGCUUGAGGACUACUGACAGUAUAGUUAAUACAUCAGAGAUUGCAAAGGCAUAUGGCGGAGGUGGAAAACGAAGUUCGAGUUCAUUCACUCUAAGAAUGGAUGAGUUCAACAUCUGGACUUCAGUGAACUCAUGAAUUGAACUGGAGAGGUCACAUAGUGUUCAUACUGUGGGAACUCGCAACCAGCUCAUCUGGGCAUGGAUCCCCUCAGUGGUGAACAUGUGAAGAUGGGGUGGUCUUUUUGUGCUCCGGUAUGAGAGGAAGGAAAAAAAAUCUUAGUCUAACCUACCAUGUUGAUAUGAGCUUACAGGAGAAUAAUCUCUUCGAUAUGAAUGACUAGAGAGCAAUUUGGAGGCAUAAUGCUUAAGCCGUUCAAGAGAAGAUUUGAUGCCUUUAAAUGAAAGGUUUGCUGGUACAUGAAAAGACGUAUUUUAUGCUCUUUCUAAUCUUUCUCCAGUAGACCUAUGUGCUUAAUUUUAGAGAUGAUAAGGGUGGUGCGGGCCGAAGAUCUGUCAUACUCCUAGGGGCCAAUUAUAGCUUACACUUAUGUUGUUAUUAGUUUUGAAUGCUGAACAUACAUGGAGAUGCGUAGCUCAGCUUAGCUUGGAUAUAACUUGGUUUCUAUCCAAACUAAUACUUUGCUCCGUAGGGAAUGCAUCUGGCAAUGGAAAUUGUUGUCAAGCUCCAGUAGCAGAAAGGAUCAUCUUCAAUUAUUGUAAUCCUGCUCCUUAAUAAUACAUUCUUGGAUCUUGCUCUGGGCUUAAAAAA